UCAAUGAGGGCACAGCUUCAUUGACACAGGAAACAACCUUCAAUAGUGACAAACUUGUAUCMCCCCCCCCCCCGUAGGCCUUUAAGCAGCCAACAAAAACAAAAUGCGUUACAGCAAUAAUUACACCCAAUCCCAAAAUACUCACACAAACCUCCUACUAAACAUCGGACAAAUCUAUUCACAUAGAAACACUCAUGUUAAAACUAGUAAUAAGAACAACUCUCUUCGCACAAGCUAACACCAACAGACAGCACCAUCUGAACCCAACUACUACACAAGAAAACCAAACCCACCAAUACUGUUAACCCAACCCAGGAGUGCACAAAGAAGAUUAAAAGUUACAAAAGGAACUCGGCAACCUAGGUCCCAACUGUUUACYAAAAACAUAGCCUUUAGCUCAAACAAGUAUUAAAGGUGAUGCCUGCCCAGUGAUAUUUUCAACGGCCGCGGGAUCCUACACCGUGCAAAGGUAGCAUAAUCACUUGUCAUCUAAAUAAUGACUAGUAUGAAUGGCCCAAUGAGGACCUUACUGUCUCUUGUAACCAAUCUAUGAAACUGAUCUUCCAGUUCAAAAGCUGGAAUAAACGCACAAGACGAAAAGACCCUGUGGAACUUUUAAGUGCCAGUCAAUAAAAUGACACAACCACUUUUAGUUGGGGCAACUUUGGAACAAAACAAAACUUCCAAUCACGGGAAACAACUUAAAGCUAGGCUUACACACCAACCUUUAUUACCCGAUAUCGACCCAGUACUACUGAUAAAAGAACCAAGCUACCCCAGGGAUAACAGCGCCAUCCCCUCUUAGAGUCCCA
rnacentral:rRNA from 1 species